rnacentral:rRNA from 1 species
UACGAAGGGGGCUAGCGUUGUUCGGAAUUACUGGGCGUAAAGGGCGCGUAGGCGGUGUGUCAAGUCAGGCGUGAAAGCCCCGGGCUCAACCUGGGAACCGCGCUUGAGACUGGCACGCUCGAGUUCGGGAGAGGAUGGUGGAAUUCCCAGUGUAGAGGUGAAAUUCGUAGAUAUUGGGAAGAACACCGAUGGCGAAGGCAGCCAUCUGGACCGACACUGACGCUGAGGCGCGAAAGCUAGGGUAGCAAACGGG